rnacentral:rRNA from 1 species
UUUAUUUAUAUAUUUAUUUAUAUAUUUAUUUAUUUUAUUUUUAAAAUUAUUUAUAUCUGUCUGUCAAGAUUUAAUAAUUUUUUUUUAUUACCUUUUGUAUAAGGUCUCUUAGAUGUUAUUAUUUUAAAUUUAUUAGAAAGUUUUAGAUCUUUGGUUUUAUUUUUAUUGUUUUAUUAUUUUAAAUUUUACCUAAGAAGUGAUAUGCUGCCGUUUUUUCUUAUAUCUAGUUAUUUAGUUCUUAGAGGGUAACCCUUUUAUUUUUUUAGUUUGAUUUUUUUAUUUUUUUUAUUAUCUUAAUAGUAGAUAAUUGUUUAAUAACAUUAUUUUUUACUUUCUAAUUUUUAUUUAGAUUUUUAUGAUAUAAUUUUAAUUAAGGUAUUAGUAGGUGUCUGUUAUUAUUUCCUUUAUUUUUCAUUUAUUUUGCUUUUAAACUAAAAUAAAUUUUACUCUUUAUUUUUCUAUAUGUUUAUUAAAAUCUUAGCUUAAUUUUUUUAAGUCUCUACUGCUCUAUGAAUAUUUAAUGGCUGUGAUUUCACACUAAGGUAGCGAGGUCAUUAGUUUUUUAACUGAAAACUUGUAUGAAUGUAGAAAUCGAAAAAUUAUUAUUUUUUUUUCUAAAAUUAUAUAUAUGUUGAAAAUAACAUUUUUUUCCCUAAGACAAAAAGACCCUAGAAUUUUUAUAAAUUUAUUUAUUUUGUUGGGGCAACUAUAAUUAUAAAAUAAUAAUAGUUUUUCUUUUUUUUGGACUUUUUUAGAUGGUUUUAAAAAUACUCUAGGGUUAACAGCUUCAUAGUAUUUUAUAGUUCUUAUAAUUAAUGCUGCUUGGGACCUCGAUGUUGGAUUAAUCUAUUUCUGUUAGGCGUAGAAGCUGUACCAGAUAGACUGUUCGUCUAUUAAAUUUUUACAUGAUCUGAGUUAAAGUCGGCGAGAGCCAGACUGGAUUUUAUCUAGGGAUUAAUUAUUAUCUUUUCAGUACGAAAGGACCUUUAGAAUAGAAUGUUUCUAGU